UACAGAGGGGGCAAGCGUUAUUCGGAAUUAUUGGGCGUAAAGGGCGCGUAGGCGGCUUGGCAAGUGGAUGGUGAAAUCCCUCGGCUUAACCGAGGAACUGCCGUCCAAACUGCUUCGCUUGAGACCGGGAGAGGUGAGUGGAAUUCCCAGUGUAGCGGUGAAAUGCGUAGAUAUUGGGAGGAACAUCAGUUGCGAAGGCGGCUCUCUGGACCAGCACUGACACUGAGGCACGAAAGCGUGGGGAGCAAACAGG
rnacentral:rRNA from 1 species